rnacentral:lncRNA from 1 species
GUGGCUCCAGCCACACCCACCUCCCUGCUGUUCCUCACCCAGGAUCACCAAGGUCUCUCCUACCCCGGGGCCUGUGCACCUGCUGUGCCUCUGCUUGGGGUGCUCUUCCCAGGGCUUGCCCACCUCCUCAGAGAGGCCUCCUGACCCCUGACACGGCCUUGCCCUUCACCUCUAUCGUCCUUUAGAACAGCCCCCACCUCCCGCACAUCAUGCAGUUGCAGGUUCAAUGGCUACUGCUUGUCCUCCAGACUCGAUAGGCCUCAUCACUCCUCAGAUGAUUCUCGAAGGAUAACACACAGGCCAGUGGGCAGCCCUAGGCCAGGGGGAUUACCAAGACAUGAAGACUUUCUUUCUGUCUCAGCAACCUUCAUGCUUGGUCAAGCAAAGGUGUUGCUUAAGUCAAACCCAGGGCAGGGGAGAGCAGUUGAAGCAAAGUGAGUCUUUGGAGGCCCUGUGGUUGUGGGGUCUGGUGUGGAGACAGUGAGAACGGAAAAGGUGGGAGAGGAGCAGUCAACCCGUGAAUGGCCCCAUUCAGACGCCUUUACCUGGAAGACGUGGCAGGAACAGUCAUCAGGAGGGGGCACAGUUGGAUUCUCUCCAGUGAAGAUGUCAGGAUGGACAGAAAUGUCAGCGUAAUCCAAAGAGGACACAAACACCCCUGCUAUUUUCUUGUCACCAGGAAAAGGCCAGCUCUAGGUCUACUGGGGUUCAUCCCAUCUGAGCCAGGCCUGGCUUUUCUUGGCUGCAAGCUGAGAGCUGGGUCCAGGUCUGCUGAACCAAGGUUCUCCCAUCUUCCUUGAGCCAGUGACAAUCAGAGGCCUAUUUCUUUCAUGACGGAAGGCAGGAGAACAAGCAGGCAAGACCAGCUGUGCUAGCACAUGGCACCCCUUUCCCACAUCACACCUGCUAACAUCCCAUUGUUCAAAGCAAGUAACACAACCAAACCCAAUAUCAACAGGACAAGAAAACAGACUCCACCUCUAGGUGCACAAACUACAGAGUCACGGACAGAGAACACAGAUCUAGGGAAGGAAGCUGGAGAAUGAGAACAAUGACCCUCAAUAACACAACCUCCCACAGGUUUCCAAAUCCCCAACCUGAGCAUAUUUCCAAGGAAACGGAAUCAUGGGUUCAGGGUUUUAGAGCAAGCAAUUUCUGCUCUCCCAGCUUAGUUUCCAUACCCUUAACACAGGGGCAAUGACGUCGCAUCGAAUCAUAUCUUAUAAGUCUGUGAUGAUGUUUCAACAACUGAACGCCAGAAAAGUGCUUAGAGCAAGGCCAGGUAGGAGGGACAGAAGCCAAUAAUAAUGAGUAGCAUCACUGUUAACCCGCAAAAUUCUGGGAAUUUCCUCGAAAGUCUAAUUAGAGAAUCAUGUCCCCAACAA